UACGGAGGAUCCAAGCGUUAUCCGGAAUUACUGGGCGUAAAGAGUUGCGUAGGUGGCAUAGUAAGCAGGUAGUGAAAGCGUGUGGCUCAACCAUACUCACAUUAUUUGAACUGCUAAGCUAGAGGAUGAGAGAGGUUAUUGGAAUUCCCUGUGUAGGAGUGAAAUCCGUAGAUAUAGGGAGGAACACCGAUGGCGUAGGCAGAUAACUGGCUCAUUCCUGACACUAAGGCACGAAAGCGUGGGGAGCAAACAGG
rnacentral:rRNA from 1 species